rnacentral:rRNA from 1 species
AGCAGCCGCGGUAAUUCCAGCUCCAAUAGCGUAUAUUAAAGUUGUUGCAGUUAAAAAGCUCGUAGUUGAAUUUCGGGAUCAAUAUUUCGGUCAUGCCGUUGGUAUGCACUGUUAUCAUUGAUUUCUCACCUUCUAAAGAACCGUAAUGCCAUUAAUUUGGUGUUACGGGGAAUUAGGACUGUUACCUUGAAAAAAUUAGAGUGUUUAAAGCAGGCUCACGCUUGAAUACAUUAGCAUGGAAUAAUGAAAUAGGACGUUCGAUCUUAUUUUGUUGGUUUCUAAGAUUGACGUAAUGAUUAAUAGGGAUAGUUGGGGGCAUUAGUAUUCAAUUGUCAGAGGUGAAAUUCUUGGACUUAU